rnacentral:rRNA from 1 species
CCUACGGGAGGCAGCAGUGGGGAAUAUUGCACAAUGGGGGAAACCCUGAUGCAGCGACGCCGCGUGAGUGAAGAAGUAUCUCGGUACGUAAAGCUCUAUCAGCAGGGAAGAUAAUGACGGUACCUGACCAAGAAGCCCCGGCUAACUACGUGCCAGCAGCCGCGGUAAUACGUAGGGGGCAAGCGUUAUCCGGAUUUACUGGGUGUAAAGGGAGCGUAGACGGCAGCGCAAGUCUGGAGUGAAAUGCCGGGGCCCAACCCCGGAACUGCUCUUGAAACUGUGCCGCUGGAGGGGCGGAGGGGGAAGCGGAAUUCCCGGUGGAGCCGUGAAAUGGGGAGAUAAUAAGAGGAA